GACCAUAUAAAGAAAAACAGCACAAGAAAGAGGUGCCUCAGUCAGCAAAUCUCCUAAAGUUGGUGGUGUUCCAGGUCGUGUUCGUCAGCCCUUCACCUGAGACACAGAGAUGAGAAUGUGGAAGCAUCUAUUGCUGUUUUGAGACACUCUGCUGAUGAAAAGACUGUCCGUGAGAAGAUGAAAAUGACCUUCAUAUAUCGGCAAGAAAUUGUCAACGAUGAAGCCAAAUCAUCAGAUGUCUUCUUUGUCUUCCCACGAUUUCUUUACACACCAGGACUGUUAUGACAUGUUAAUUCACUGCAUCACCAAAAUAUCCAAUGUAGCAUUAGGUAUCACUUAUCACUUCUGUGUGUUACAUUGCAGAUAGAACAAGAUUUCAGAUUUCUGUUUGGUGAGGCCAAACAAAUUCUUGGAGAAGUGGCCAACCACCUUUAAAGCAAAAGUAAUAAAGGAAAGCCAUGGACUUGUACCCACCACAGAACUCUUGGAUUUGAUGCGCAAUGCUGAGUCAGCUGCUGAAGUUGAGAAUGGCUGGGACAGUGACAUGUCUGCCAACUUGCUGCUGCUACAUCUGCUACCACUAACUGCACAAGAUAGAAAGAGGCCGGGAAAGCUUUCUGUGUAUCAAGCUGUAGAUCCGCUCAUCAGAUUUCAAAAGUUAUGCUUAAAGGGUUAGAUCACUUAUAAUUUAUUUUUUUGCUGAUUAUUAACUAACCCCCAUAUCAUCCAAGAUUCAUGUCUUUCUUUCUUCAGUCAAAAAUAAAUUAAGGUUUUUCUAGAAAACAUUCCAGGAUUUUUCUCCAUAUAAUGGACUUCAAUUAUAUG